rnacentral:rRNA from 1 species
AUUGAAGGCUGGCGGCAGGCCCAACACAUUCAAGUCGAACGAGUGGCUCAGGGGUGAGUAAUGUCGGGGAAACUGCGUGUGGGGGGGGGAUCACUACUGAAAACAGUAGCAAAUACCGCAUACCAUCGGAUGUGCCCAGAUGGGAUUAGCUAGUAGGUGGGGUAAAGGCUCACCUAGGCGACGAUCCCUAGCUGGUCUGAGAGGAUGACCAGCCACACUGGAACGGAGAAACGGUCCAGACUACUACGGGAGGCAGCAGUGGGGAAUAUUGCACAAUGGGCGCAAGCCUGAUGCAGCCAUGCCGCGUGUAUGAAGCAGGCCUUCGGGUUGUAAAGGACUUUCAGCGAUGAGGCGUUAACAGCCGAAGAAGCACCGGCUAACUCCAUGCCAGCCGCCGCGGUAAUAC